CCUUGAGAGCGGCCUUCUUUGGACAGUCCUUGAUCAUAUGUGGACCCUCACAGUGGAAGCACCUUAUAGGCCCACUCUUUCUCUUGUCCCAAGGCUUCUUACCGUCGCCGUUCCUAGUGGGCCUUUCUUUAUCUCCCCCACUAUUACCCUUUAAUCUGGGUUUAGAAGAAUUGGAAUUGUCUUUCCUCCCACCAAAUUCAGCAAGUGAUUCUGCUACUGACAUAGCCUUGGUGAG
rnacentral:lncRNA from 1 species